CUGUGGACGUCAGCGGGGGCAACUAACAGGUGCAGCGGGAACGUGGGAGACGUCACGCUGCCAUUCACAACUUCCUGCAGACGGCGGCGCCUGCUCCUCGACCCGCGGCUUCCCAGACAAACGCAGCGCGAGACAACAGCGAGCGGGGGGGGGGACGGACGAACCCGCCGCGGUUCCGAAACCAAAAGCCCCACAUUGACUGUGAAACCCAUGAGCCCCCGUGCGAGCUUAGCGUCGCUCGGUGUCCGGACGGCGGAGGUGUUCGCCCACAACCCCCCGGCUCUCCGCGGCCAAUGAACGCGAGGCUGCUGUAUUUAUAGCCGCACCACCUCCGCUCGGUGUGGAGUUGUAGCGCUACAGUCAGUCGCCAACAGGCAAACGCGGCUACCCCUGCUAACAGCCGUGAGCCGACCAUCCCCUUUACGGCCUAGCGACACAAGCACCGACCUCGAGUUACAGACCGACGCUUCCCCCCCACGCCCGCCAUUUAGAGCGUGGCACACGAGUGAGGCUAAUUACCCUCGGUUUCCAUCAGGUAAGCGCUAAAAGUCCACGGCUAGACAACCCGGAAGCGAUUUAAAGUGUUUAUUCCAAUAACUUCGCCGGGAAGCUGGUUUAUCGACAGUGGUCGCGAGCUGCCAAUUGGCUGCUAGCUAAUGUAAACAACAUUGGAAGCCCCACACGGAGCGCUGUCCGCGGGCUAGCAGGGACGCACAUGCAGCUAAGCAUGAGCGAUCCGGCGCACUGUCGCUACAACAUCUGCAGCAGCGCUGUCGGGUUAUCUCCAUGCUCAGAUCGGGUCGAGCUAGGAGCGGGGCGAGGAGACGUCGAUCCCCCCGUGGGCUCCACUCAAAGCGCCUGCUAACGCGAGCUGAAGUUCACCGAUGAUGCUUUGGUAAUCCGUUACCGAUGGGGGCCACAGCUGGAGACGGAGCAGACACCGCCGCGGACGUAUGAGUGAAAAAGCAAACUUAUCUGUGAUUUAAGUAAACAAUUCAAAGCUAUGGGCUGCAAAGUGAAAAUCUCCCCGAGAGAAGAAAACAAUCUCCGUUCGGUUAGCAAUGGGGGGAGGCGUGGUUUUCCUGCAUAGGCCAGCCCCCUGACGAGCACUAUUGGUCGGUUCGUUCGGAGGGUCCACAGGGGGGCGGGGCGGAGGACCCGAGCUGUCAAUCAUGGAUUUAUCCUCCGGUCCCAAAGCACGCCCAUGUUGACUUGAAGCGCGACAGUGCAUCAGUGAGUUCAGGCCGUGGAUGUGUUACACACUAUGUAUAGGGUCAGGGGAGUAGUGCUGGAUCCGCCUGCUACAGACCCCCACCACACUCCACUUUCACUAGUUCCUCUUUCCUCCAAUGCAAUACUACAUGUCUAUGGUCUUUUAUAAAGGCAGAAUGCAAAUAUUGUACCAAAGUGAGCAUUUUCUUGUUUCUUACUAUUGUUAGUGUUAUUAUAACGAUAUUUCCAAUAUGUCUAUCUAAGUUUUUUUUUUUUGUCAGAUCCCAGGCACUGAGGAAUAAUGAUGGUCUUUACUUUUCAUAAACUUAACAAUCUAUUCCUGAAUAGAAUAAUAGUCAGACCUAAUAAUAAUGUAAAUAGUCAGUAUUUGCAGCCAGUACUUAAUUGCUUAAAAUCUGAGAAAAACUGAAGCACUUUAAUAAAACACCACAACUAAUGUGCACAAUAACAAAGACAGUUGAGAUUUAAAACUAGAUUUUGACUCAAUGCAAGACACUAAAUAACUUUACCUUGUGCUCAAGAAUAUUGUGACUAUGUUUCUGAGUGUUCUGUUGAGCAAGUCUGAUCGAUAAUGAUAAUAAUGGGUAGUCGCACCCUAUUGUGCAAAUAAAACUUAAGCGGAUGUCCUGGUGAAGUCUUAAAGUAAGGUUGUCUUUUAAUGCAGUAUUCCUUUGUUGGUAGGACCAGGGUAAGACAAUCACAUUUCAAAUGGUUCAUAAUGUCUUACAUUUAUCUUCCAGUGUCGGAUGCUUUUGACUGACUGAAUUUCUUUGCUGUUUCAUUUAACUUAAAAAAUAAAUGUUUGAAAUAC